GUAAAUGAUGAAAAUAGAUCUGAUGUUGCAUCUCAAUUAGACACAACUAUUAGAGGAUUACAUUUACAAAUUGAAAAUUAUCCUGAUU
rnacentral:sRNA from 1 species